rnacentral:rRNA from 1 species
UGGGGAAUUUUGGACAAUGGGCGAAAGCCUGAUCCAGCAAUGCCGCGUGUGUGAAGAAGGCCUUCGGGUUGUAAAGCACUUUUGUCCGGAAAGAAAUCCUUGGCUCUAAUACAGUCGGGGGAUGACGGUACCGGAAGAAUAAGCACCGGCUAACUACGUGCCAGCAGCCGCGGUAAUACGUAGGGUGCAAGCGUUAAUCGGAAUUACUGGGCGUAAAGCGUGCGCAGGCGGUUUGCUAAGACCGAUGUGAAAUCCCCGGGCUCAACCUGGGAACUGCAUUGGUGACUGGCAGGCUAGAGUAUGGCAGAGGGGGGUAGAAUUCCACGUGUAGCAGUGAAAUGCGUAGAGAUGUGGAGGAAUACCGAUGGCGAAGGCAGCCCCCCUGGGCCAAUACUGACGCUCAUGCACGAAAAGCGUGGGGAGCAAAACAGGAUUAGAUACCCUGGUAGUCCACGCCCUAAACGAUGUCAACUAGUUGUUGGGGAUUCAUUUCCUUAGUAACGUAGCUAACGCGUGAAGUUGACCGCCUGGGGAGUACGGUCGCAAGAUUAAAACUCAAAUGAAUUGACGGGGUCAUAGCUG